rnacentral:rRNA from 1 species
UCCACGCAGUAAACGAUGAAUGUUAGUCGUCGGGGGCCUAGUGUCUUCGGUGAUGCAGCUAACGCAUUAAACAUUCCGCCUGGGGAGUACGGUCGCAAGAUUAAAACUCAAAGGAAUAGACGGGGACCCGCACAAGCGGUGGAGCAUGUGGCUUAAUUCGAGGCAACGCGAAGAACCUUACCUGGGUUUGACAUGUUUAGGACCGCUCUAGAGAUAGAGCUUUCUUUCGAGAC